rnacentral:rRNA from 1 species
UACAGAGGGGGCAAGCGUUGUUCGGAAUUACUGGGCGUAAAGGGCGCGUAGGCGGCCUGCUAAGUCGAACGUGAAAUCCCCGGGCUCAACCCGGGAACUGCGUCCGAUACUGGCAGGCUUGAAUCCGGGAGAGGGAUGUGGAAUUCCAGGUGUAGCGGUGAAAUGCGUAGAUAUCAGGAGGAACACCUGUGGUGUAGACAGCUUACUGGACCACUUCUGACGCUGAGACACGAAAGCGUGGGUAGCAAACAGG